UGGAAACAGCAUAGAAUUAUAGACGAGCACGCUCUCCAAUGAUGUCACCAUCAUCUUUGAUGGUCCCAUAGCACUAACGCUGCCUUUUGGGUUGCUAUUUCAGCAACCAAACUAAAAAAAAUUCAGGAGAGGUUUGUGCAAGUGAAAACCCUGACACAUCUUCACAUGACUGAACUUGGCAUUCUCCGCUCGAGCUGGACUUAUUUGAGGAUUCGACAGCCGUUUCCCAUGCAGGACUGCAGCUUGAUCAGCCUUUGGUUCAUGAUCUGCAGAAGGGAAAGAUCGACCUUCUUCACAAUUUCUCCAGCAGAUGGGGAUCUGCCGUCAGAACUGAGUCUGUGUUGGAGGUAAGGAGUGGCAUUUCCAUUUGGCCUAGAGGGAUGACUUCAUAGCGUACUGGUCCAUUUGAUAAAAAUGCCGUUCCUCGGAAGACUGAGUCCCCAGUUCAAAAUCUCCUGAGGCUCUUGAGCUGAAGUUUUCUCGUUUUCCUGUUGUUGGAAAGCAGUAAAGACCACAAGGUCAAAGUUCCUGACCUCAGUU